GACCAGACUCCUACGGGAGGCAGCAGUGGGGGAUAUUGCACAAUGGGGGAAACCCUGAUGCAGCGACGCCGCGUGAGCGAUGAAGUAUUUCGGUAUGUAAAGCUCUAUCAGCAGGGAAGAAAAUGACGGUACCUGACUAAGAAGCCCCGGCUAACUACGUGCCAGCAGCCGCGGUAAUACGUAGGGGGCAAGCGUUAUCCGGAUUUACUGGGUGUAAAGGGAGCGUAGACGGUCCUGCAAGCCAGAUGUGAAAGCCCGGGGCUCAACCCCGGGACUGCAUUUGGAACUGUAAGGCUAGAGUGUCGGAGAGGCAGGCGGAAUUCCUAGUGUAGCGGUGAAAUGCGUAGAUAUCAGGAGGAACACCGGUGGCGAAGGCGGCCUGCUGGACUGCAACCGACGUUGAGGCCCGAAAGCGUGGGGAGCAAACAGGAUUAGAUACCCCUGUA
rnacentral:rRNA from 1 species